CAAGCAUUAAAUUAACUCAAGGUUAUUUUUGAGUAACUUGGUGUUCAUUAAGAGAAAAUCAUAAGGAAUGGAAAUUGAUCAUAAAGCAAACUCCAGAAAUCUUUGAUGGAUAUAGGAGCUGUUCCUGCUGUCCCACUUGCAAGCAGAGCAGAACGUUUCUGGAAAUUGAGCUCAUCUUUUCCAUUGCUCUGGGAGAGACAUUGCAAUGCUGGAGCUGUUCUGGACUCAGCUCACUCAGUUCCUUCAGAGAAAUCUGUGGGAGUGAGGUCAAAAAUAAUCUUAAGGCUUUGUCGUGAGUAG
rnacentral:lncRNA from 1 species